rfam:Parastrongyloides trichosuri strain KNP genome assembly, scaffold: PTRK_contig0001369
CCAACGGCCCUCUUUAGGGCCAACAAUUUACUUUUAAUUUUCAUGU